GAUGAAGAACGCAGCGAAAUGCGAUAAGUAAUGUGAAUUGCAGAAUUCAGUGAAUCAUCGAAUCUUUGAACGCACAUUGCGCCCAUUAGCAUUCUAGUGGGCAUGCCUGUUCGAGCGUCAUUUCAACCCUUAAGCCCUGUUGCUUAGCGUUGGGAGCCUACAGUACUGUAGCUCCCCAAAGUUAGUGGCGGAGUCGGUUUCACACUCUAGACGUAGUAAAUUUUUCUCGUCUGUAGUUGAGCCGGUCCCCUGCCGUAAAACAUACAAUUUAUCAAGGUUGACCUCGGAUCAGGUAGGAAUACCCGCUGAACUUAAGCAUAUCAAUAAGCGGAGGA
rnacentral:misc_RNA from 1 species